rnacentral:rRNA from 1 species
CCUACGGGAGGCAGCAGUGGGGAAUAUUGGGCAAUGGGCGCAAGCCUGACCCAGCAACGCCGCGUGAAGGAAGAAGGCUUUCGGGUUGUAAACUUCUUUUGUCAGGGAAGAGUAGAAGCCGUUACCUGACGAAUAAGCCACGGCUAACUACGUGCCAGCCGCCGCGGUAAUACGGAGGUGGCAAGCGUUGUCCGGAUUUACUGGGUGUAAAGGGCGUGUAGGCGGAAUGCCAAGUCAGCGGUAAAAUCCCGGGGCUCAACCUCGCUCCGCCGUUGAAACUGGCGUUCUUGAGUGUGCGAGAAGUAUGCGGAAUGCGUGGUGUAGUGGUGAAAUGCAUAGAUAUCACGCAGAACUCCGAUUGCGAAGGCAGCAUACCGGCGCCCAACUGACGCUGAAGCACGAAAGCGUGGGUAUCGAACAGGAUUAGAUACCCGAGUAGUC